rnacentral:rRNA from 1 species
CCAAAGGGGCUGCUAGUACGGCGAGUGAGCGGCAACAGCUCAAAUUUGAAAGCUAGCCUUCGGGUUCGCAUUGUAAUUUGUAGAGGAUGAUUUGGGGAAGCCGCCUGUCUAAGUUCCUUGGAACAGGACGUCAUAGAGGGUGAGAAUCCCGUAUGUGACAGGAAAUGGCACCCUAUGUAAAUCUCCUUCGACGAGUCGAGUUGUUUGGGAAUGCAGCUCUAAAUGGGAGGUAAAUUUCUUCUAAAGCUAAAUAUUGGCGAGAGACCGAUAGCGCACAAGUAGAGUGAUCGAAAGAUGAAAAGCACUUUGGAAAGAGAGUUAAAAAGCACGUGAAAUUGUUGAAAGGGAAGCGCUUGCAAUCAGACUUGUUUAAACUGUUCGGCCGGUCUUCUGACCGGUUUACUCAGUUUGGACAGGCCAGCAUCAGUUUCGGCGGCCGGAUAAAGGCUCUGGGAAUGUGGCCUCCACUUCGGUGGAGGUGUUAUAGCCCAGGGUGUAAUACGGCCAGCCGGGACUGAGGUCCGCGCUUCGGCUAGGAUGCUGGCGUAAUGGUUGUAAGCGACCCGUCUUGAACC